rnacentral:rRNA from 1 species
GAUGAACGCUGGCGGCGUGCCUAAUACAUGCAAGUCGAGCGAACGGACGAGUAGCUUGCUUCUCUGAUGUUUGCGGCGGACGGGUGAGUAACACGUGGAUAACCUACCUAUAAGACUGGGAUCACUUCGGGAAACCGGAGCUCAUACCGGAUGAUCUUUUGAACCGCAUUGUUCAAAAUUGAACGACGGUCUUGCUGUCACUUAUAGAUGGAUCCGCGCUUCAUUAGCUAGUUGGUAAGGUAACGGCUUACCAAGGCAACGAUGCAUAGCCGACCUGAGAGGGUGAUCGGCCACACUGGAACUGAGACACGGUCCAGACUCCUACGGGAGGCAGCAGUAGGGAAUCUUCCGCAAAGGGCGAAAGCCUGACGGAGCAACGCCGCGUGAGUGAUGAAGGUCUUCGGAUCGUAAAACUCUGUUAUUAGGGAAGAACAUAUGUGUAAGUAACUGUGCACAUCUUGACGGUACCUAAUCAGAAAGCCACGGCUAACUACGUG